rnacentral:snRNA from 1 species
CAAAAGAGGAAACUGAAGUGUGAGGAGAUUAAACCUGAGUGCAGUCAUGCGUAGGGCAUCUCUAUUGCUCUACAUGCGGAAUCGACAUCAAGAGAUUUCUGAGCCAUAAUUUUUGUUACCUGGGCUGCUAGUGAUUGUUGGUCCUGGCGCCCUA